GGGAAGGAGGGCUCGCGGCGGUGAGAAGAACAGAGAAGGAGUAGCCCUAGGAGGGGCUAGGUUUUGGGAGGGAGUAAAAGUUGUGGUCUGGUUGGGCAGCGGAGGUGGAGAGCUAGAUCAAGUAGGUAGUUAGGGGAGAUCUAGGAGCUAGGUGGGUAGGUUGGUCGAGGUGGCAGGGGCGUCGUUUACGAGCUGGGGCAACGGGAGCACACGAGGUCACUCGGAGCGGAGGUAGAUGCCGGCUUGCGGGGUCCAGGGCAGCGAGGAGAAGAGGGAGAGCGAGGAUAAAAGGAGACCAGGAGGGAGCAGAGUGUAGAGAGAGAGUUGAGAGAAAGAAUGUCCCUCCGGCGGCACCGGUACCCCGAGGUGGGCUGCGGUUCGGUGGAGGAGUCGGGACGUCGGAGGAGGGGAGCGCUGGGGCAACGUCGAGGCCGGACUGGAACGGCCUGAGGAGGGCGUCGUCAGGGCGUGGUUCGGAGCGUGGCAGCCGGUCGUCUAGGCUCGGCGGUAGCAGGAGGCGGCGGGAACGGACAGGGGUGGGGGCCGCGGGGUUCAGGGACGGUGGCGUGCGGUAGGUCGGAGCCUAGGCGGUUCUAGGCCGUCGGGUGCAGCUCGUAGAGGAGAAGGGCCGGCAGAGACGCAGCAGGCGCGGAGGCGGGCAACGGUAGAAGAAGGGCCUCCAGGUGGCAGCGGCGUUCAGUGCGGCGGCAAAGACGAGACAGAACCAGUCAAGCUCGCCCUCCUGCUCGUAGUCGGGGACAAGGGGAGCGUGUAACUGGCGUUGAGGGGCAUCGUGGCACCCGGCGUAGGGCGCAGUUUCGGGUCGCGCGGUCGGAGAGGUGGCUGGCCCGGCUUCGGGUACCGAAGCCAAAGCAAGGCCUCAACACUCCUAAGCAAGCUGAUGCAGGCAAGCAGAAGAAGUACCUGAGCAAGAGGAAGGAACGCCCUAAAGUC
rnacentral:rRNA from 1 species